ensembl:misc_RNA Metazoa_SRP Metazoan signal recognition particle RNA
GCCGGGCGCCUGUAGUCCCAGCUACUCGGGAGGCUGAGGCAGGAGGAUCGCUUGAGCCCAGGAGUUCUGGGCUGUAGUGCACUAUGCCGAUCGGGUGUCCGCACUAAGUUCGGCAUCAAUAUGGUGAUCUCCCAGGAGCGGGGGAUCACCAGGUUGCCUAAGGAGGGGUGAACCGGCCCAGGUCGGAAAUGGAGCAGGUCAAAAAUAAUACAUAGGUACUCCUAUUCUUUUUAAGUCAAAUUGAUAUCCAAGUAUAUAGUUUUUUAAAAAGAUUUUAUUU